rnacentral:rRNA from 1 species
GAGGAAUAUUGGUCAAUGGGCGCGAGCCUGAACCAGCCAAGUAGCGUGAAGGAUGACUGCCCUAUGGGUUGUAAACUUCUUUUAUAAGGGAAUAAAGUGAGGCACGUGUGCCUUAUUGCAAGUACUGUAUGAAUAAGCAUCGGCUAACUCCGUGCCAGCAGCCGCGGUAAUACGGAGGAUGCGAGCGUUAUCCGGAUUUAUUGGGUUUAAAGGGUGCGCAGGCGGGCUUUUAAGUCAGCGGUGAAAUCUGGACGCUUAACGUCCAAACUGCCGUUGAAACUGGGAGUCUUGAGUAUGGAUGAAGUAGGCGGAAUUCGUUGUGUAGCGGUGACAUGCAUAGAUAUAACGAGGAACUCCGAUUGCGUAGGCAGCUUACUAAGCCAUAACUGACGCUCAUGCACGAAAGCGUGGGGAGCAAACA